GUAGUUAGCCGGGGCUUCCUCCUCAGGUACCGUCAUUUCUUUCUUCCCUGAGGACAGAGGUUUACAAUCCGAAAACAUUCAUCCCUCACGCGGCGUUGCUGGGUCAGGCUUUCGCCCAUUGCCCAAUAUUCCCCACUGCUGCCUCCCGUAGGAGUCUGGACCGUUUCUCAGUUCCAGUGUGGCCGAUCACCCUCUCAGGUCGGCUACCCAUCGUUGCCUUGGUGGGCCGUUACCUCACCAACUAGCUAAUGGGACGCGAACUCACCUCAAACCGGAUUGCUCCUUUUACCCCAGUCCCAUGCGAGACCGUGGUCUUAUGCGGUAUUAGCAACUGUUUCCAGUUGUUAUCCCCCUGUCUGAGACAGAUUGUUCACGCGUUACUCACCCGUCCGCCGCUGAAACGAAAACCGAAGCUCUCGUCUCCGCUCGACUUGCAUGUGUUAGGCACGCCGCCAGCGUUCGUCCUGAGCCAGAAUCGAACCCUGA
rnacentral:rRNA from 1 species